GACGUGAGGGCGCAAGCGUUGUCCGGAUUUAUUGGGCGUAAAGAGCUCGUAGGCGGUUCAGUCAGUCGGUGUGAAAUCUCCGGGCUCAACUCGGAGGGGCCACCGAUACUGCUGUGACUCGAGUCCGGUAGGGGAGUGGGGAAUUCCUGGUGUAGCGGUGAAAUGCGCAGAUAUCAGGAGGAACACCGGUGGCGAAGGCGCCACUCUGGGCCGGUACUGACGCUGAGGAGCGAAAGCGUGGGGAGCAAACAGG
rnacentral:rRNA from 1 species